rnacentral:rRNA from 1 species
UUGUAGCCUGCUAUGGUAUAACUUAGUGGCAGACGGGUGAGUAAUGUAUAGGAAUCUACCUAGUAGUACGGAAUAAUUGUUGGAAACGGCAACUAAUACCGUAUACGCCCUACGGGGGAAAAAUUUAUUGCUAUUAGAUGAGCCUAUAUUAGAUUAGCUAGUUGGUGGAGUAAUAGCCUACCAAGGCAAUGAUCUAUAGCUGAUCUGAGAGGAUGAUCAGCCACACUGGAACUGAGAUACGGUCCAGACUCCUACGGGAGGCAACAGUGGGGAAUAUUGGACAAUGGGCGAAAGCCUGAUCCAGCCAUGCCGCAUGAGUGAAGAAGGCCUUUGGGUUGUAAAGCUCUUUUAGUGAGGAAGAUAAUGACGGUACUCACAGAAGAAGUCCUGGCUAACUCCGUGCCAGCAGCCGCGGUAAUACGGAGAGGGCUAGCGUUAUUCGGAAUUAUUGGGCGUAAAGGGCGCGUAGGCGGAUUAGUAAGUUAAAAGUGAAAUCCCAAGGCUCAACCUUGGAAUUGCUUUUAAAACUGCUAAUCUAGAGAUUGAAAGAGGAUAGAGGAAUUCCUAGUGUAGAGGUGAAAUUCGUAAAUAUUAGGAGGAACACCAGUGGCGAAGGCGUCUAUCUGGUUCAAAUCUGACGCUGAGGCGCGAAGGCGUGGGGAGCAAACAGGAUUAGAUACCCUGGUAGUCCACGCUGUAAACGAUGAAUGUUAAAUAUGGGAAGUUUUACCUUCUGUAUUACAGCUAACGCGUUAAACAUUCCGCCUGGGGACUACGGUCGCAAGAUUAAAACUCAAAGGAAUUGACGGGGACCCGCACAAGCGGUGGAGCAUGUGGUUUAAUUCGAUGCAACGCGAAAAACCUUACCACUCCUUGGAAAUCAUACCUAUUC